rnacentral:misc_RNA from 1 species
ACAAACUUGGUCAUUUAGAGGAAGUAAAAGUCGUAACAAGGUCUCCGUUGGUGAACCAGCGGAGGGAUCAUUACCGAGUUUACAACUCCCAAACCCAAUGUGAACCAUACCAAACCGUUGCCUCGGCGGGGUCACGCCCCGGGCGCGUCGCAGCCCCGGAACCAGGCGCCCGCCGGAGGGACCAACCAAACUCUCUUCUGUAGUCCCCUCGCGGACGUUAUUUCUCACAGCUCUGAGCAAAAUCAUUCAAAAUGAAUCAAAACUUUCAACAACGGAUCUCUUGGUUCUGGCAUCGAUGAAGAACGCAGC